rnacentral:rRNA from 1 species
GCAAGUCGAGGGGUAACAUGACUACUUGCACUUGAUGACGACCGGCGCACGGGUGCGUAACGCGUAUACAAUCUGCCUUACACUGGGGGAUAGCCUUUGGAAACGAAGAUUAACACCCCAUAGUAUCAUUGAGUGGCAUCACUUAAUGAUUAAAGGUUACGGUGUAAGAUGAGUAUGCGUCCUAUUAGUUUGUUGGUGUGGUAACGGCACAUCAAGACUACGAUAGGUAGGGGCCCUGAGAGGGGGACC